rnacentral:rRNA from 1 species
GGUAAUGCCGGAUGCUCCAGUUGAUCGCAUGGUCUUCUGGGAAAGCUUUCGCGGUAUGGGAUGGGGUCGCGUCCUAUCAGCUUGACGGCGGGGUAACGGCCCACCGUGGCUUCGACGGGUAGCCGGCCUGAGAGGGCGACCGGCCACAUUGGGACUGAGAUACGGCCCAGACUCCUACGGGAGGCAGCAGUGGGGAAUAUUGCACAAUGGGCGCAAGCCUGAUGCAGCGACGCCGCGUGAGGGAUGGAGGCCUUCGGGUUGUAAACCUCUUUUAUCGGGGAGCAAGCGAGAGUGAGUUUACCCGUUGAAUAAGCACCGGCUAACUACGUGCCAGCAGCCGCGGUAAUACGUAGGGUGCAAGCGUUAUCCGGAAUUAUUGGGCGUAAAGGGCUCGUAGGCGGUUCGUCGCGUCCGGUGUGAAAGUCCAUCGCUUAACGGUGGAUCCGCGCCGGGUACGGGCGGGCUUGAGUGCGGUAGGGGAGACUGGAAUUCCCGGUGUAACGGUGGAAUGUGUAGAUAUCGGAAAAAAAACACC